rnacentral:rRNA from 1 species
UAUUCCCCACUGCUGCCUCCCGUAGGAAUCUGGACCGUGUCUCAGUUCCAGUGUGGCUGGUCAUCCUCUCAGACCAGCUAGGGAUCGUCGCCUAGGUGAGCCGUUACCCCACCUACUAGCUAAUCCCAUCUGGGCACAUCCGAUGGCAAGAGGCCCGAAGGUCCCCCUCUUUGGUCUUGCGACGUUAUGCGGUAUUAGCUACCGUUUCCAGUAGUUAUCCCCCUCCAUCAGGCAGUUUCCCAGACAUUACUCACCCGUCCGCCACUCGUCAGCAAAGAAGCAAGCUUCUUCCUGUUACCGUUCGACUUGCAUGUGUUAGGCCUGCCGCCAGCGUUCAUCCUGAGCCAA